GACGAACGCUGGCGGCGUGCCUAAUACAUGCAAGUCGAACGCUUUGAUUUUCACCGGAGCUUGCUCCACCGAAAAUCAAAGAGUGGCGGACGGGUGAGUAACACGUGGGCAACCUGCCCAACAGAGGGGGAUAACACUUGGAAACAGGUGCUAAUACCGCAUAAUUUGUUUUUCCGCAUGGAAGAAUAAUAAAAGACGCUUCGGUGUCACUGUUGGAUGGGCCCGCGCUGCAUUAGUUAGUUGGUGGGGUAACGGCCUACCAAGACCAUGAUGCAUAGCCGACCUGAGAGGGUGAUCGGCCACACUGGGACUGAGACACGGCCCAGACUCCUACGGGAGGCAGCAGUAGGGAAUCUUCGGCAAUGGACGAAAGUCUGACCGAGCAACGCCGCGUGAGUGAAGAAGGUUUUCGGAUCGUAAAACUCUGUUGUUAGAGAAGAACAAGUGAGAGAGUUACUGUUCUCACCUUGACGGUAUCUAACCAGAAAGCCACGGCUAACUACGUGCCAGCAGCCGCGGUAAUACGUAGGUGGCAAGCGUUGUCCGGAUUUAUUGGGCGUGAAGCGAGCGCAGGCGGUUUCUUAAGUCUGAUGUGAAAGCCCUCGGCUCAACCGAGGAAGGUCAUUGGAAACUGGGGAACUUGAGUGCAGAAGAGGAGAGUGGAAUUCCAUGUGUAGCGGUGAAAUGCGUAGAUAUAUGGAGGAACACCAGUGGCGAAGGCGACUCUCUGGUCUGUAACUGACGCUGAGGCUCGAAAGCGUGGGGAGCAAACAGG
rnacentral:rRNA from 1 species